rnacentral:piRNA from 1 species
UGUUGAGUUCUCGUUAUUGAG